AUUCUGUCUCUGAAUUUCGUGAGUGGAGGUUGUAAAUUUAACUUUUUCCUUUGAUUCCAUUUUUAUUUAGCUUAUGCUAAAUUUUUCUAUUUAUUACAAUAUGUAGUUGAUCAGAGACAGAUUUCAUUCAUCACAAGUUGUGAUAUUAUUAUUAUUUUCUUUAUUUUUUUUUAUUUCCUUUUUAAAUAUGUAAAUUUUCUUGUUUGUUAUUAAAAAAAAAAGUAAUCAUGUCCGAAAAUUUAAUUGAGUAUUCAUUCUAGCUGGCCUAAGUUAUGGCAAUUUAUUUAUAUUUGUUGAAAACCUCAUUCAUCACAUAUGUAUCCAUAGUAAUUUCUACAAUUUCCGCUGUACAGCGGUCGUAGACUCGUAGUAUCACAGGAUGUCUUAGUUAUGGCCAUGGAAGCUGAAUCCUUGCUGACCAACUCAUCACAAGGAAACCAAUAUUUCCAGAAAAGAUCUAAAUUCGCCGUAAAAAGGAUACUUCAAGAACUUCUUGUGCAGUGAAAAAUUUGAAUAAAGUGUACGGAGGCCUCCUCACUUCAAUACACCAGGUAUUUACGAAACAACCAAUAUUAAUUUAUGGAAAAUUCACAGGCAACUACUUCGCAAAAAUAAAUGGGACAGGAUAAUAAAUAAAUUUGUAAUUACUUGA
rnacentral:lncRNA from 1 species